UACAGAGGGGGCAAGCGUUAUUCGGAAUUAUUGGGCGUAAAGGGCGCGUAGGCGGCCUGGCAAGUGGAAGGUGAAAUCCCUCGGCUUAACCGAGGAACUGCCUCCCAAACUGCUUGGCUUGAGACCGGGAGAGGUGAGUGGAAUUCCCAGUGUAGCGGUGAAAUGCGUAGAUAUUGGGAGGAACACCAGUGGCGAAGGCGGCUCACUGGACCGGUACUGACGCUGAUGCGCGAAAGCGUGGGGAGCAAACAGU
rnacentral:rRNA from 1 species